rnacentral:lncRNA from 1 species
AAGACACAUUUAUCUAGUGCUCGCUUUAUGCCAGAUACAUCGUAAGUAAGAAAGACAUGGUCCCUGCGGUCCUAGAACUUGCUGGCUAGAGGAGAGAAAGGAGAAAUGCCAUGUUUUGUAACUUCUAAUCAUGCUGUGACUUGUUCAUUUUCCCAAAGGGAUUUCCAUGCAUUUUGAACUGAACGGUUCCCUUGGCUGACAACCCAGGGCACAACUCCUGCUUCCGUGAGUGCCUAAUACAAGAGUUGAAGCUCCCGGAGCCUUCUUUGAAAAAUGCCAUGCCUAAUGUUCUACUACAGAUGUUUGCCUUGAGUCAAAUAUGGAGCUUAUGUAAAAUUAUAUGUGGUUGGUGGUGAGUAUUGCUUUUAUGAGAUAAAGAAUCAUUUCACAUUAUUCUCAUUUUACUUUAAUGCUUGGGGUCAUUUAAACUGAGCAAUAGCACUUGACUCUGAAGAAACAGUGGUAGAAAUGCAAAUAAAUGCCCCCAAAAUAGAAUAUUUUGACCUCAAGAAAUUAAUCUAAGAGUAGAAAAUUAUAUUCAGAAUCAAACAUUUCCUCAAGCAAUUGUAUUAUCAUAAUGUCUUAUAUAAUUUCAAACUUACUUUUACUUUGAAAUGGACUGUACAGUAGUAUUUCUUAAAUAUACAUUUAGUGUAGCACAUGAUUUAGAAAUUUUUUAAUUUUUAAAACAGCAAGAGUCUUGAACAAUUGGCAAUGGAAACCAAUGGUAAGUUUUUUUAACCACAGUAACACCAAUUACUUUAAGAAAUUCAGUGAAAAGAGGUGCCUGGGUAGGUCAGCCAGUUAAGCAUCUGACUCUUGAUUUUAGCUCAGGUCGUGAUCUUAAGGUUGUGGGAUCAAGCUCCAGUUAGGCUCUGUACUCAGUGUAGUCUGCUUGUCCCUCUACCUCAGCUCCUCUCCCACCACUCGCUAUGUCCCUCUCUCUUUUUCUAAAAUAAAUAAAUAAAUAAUUAAAAAAAGAAAAUUCAGUGAAAAAAAUCGAUAAAAUAUGAUGUGAUUUUUCUGCAUCUAUAUUAUUGUCUUUUCCCUUGGAUCCUUGUGUUGUUCCUUACUAUUUGUAAGACAUUGGGAAAAUUAUUAGUUUCUCACAUCUUGUUUCCUCAUCUGUUGAAUGGGCUGGUUUUAAAGAUCAAAUAAUUUAAUUCAUGUGCACAGCACAUAAUCAUUUCAUGUGUCAGCCAUUAUGACUAUUUAAGACAAGCACAUAAGUGUCAUUCUUUGAUAUGAUACUUGUAUUUUUUAAGACUUAAAUGUCAGUGCAAAUAAUUCUUUUUUUUAUAAUCAUUUGAAUGUUUUAUGUUUGCCAAAUAAAAUCUACUUUUCUAUUGGAAACUGUAUUUCCUAUUGCCUUUAAACUACUUGGGUGUUAAAAGUGUAACUAAUCAAUGUUUUUUGAAUGCUCCCUAUGAGUCAAGUACUUUCCAAGACAUAAAAAAACACCAUCACUUCCCUUAAAUUACUUAGGAUUUAUUGGCAAGGAGAAUAAUGUUAAUAAGCAAGUUUAAUCUAAAGCAGAGUGGGAAAAAUGCUUUCAGAGAAACAUAGAUCAAACUGCUCAAGGAGGCAGACAAGGUAUGGAUUAUACUAUUAGAACAAGGAAGAGCUUCAGAUAGUAGUAGAAUUUUGGUUCAGGAAGGCAGAGGAA